UGGGGAAUAUUGGACAAUGGGCGCAAGCCUGAUCCAGCCAUGCCGCGUGAGUGAUGAAGGCCCUAGGGUUGUAAUGCUCUUUCACCGAUGAAGAUAAUGACGGUAACCGGAGAAGAAGCCCCGGCUAACUUCGUGCCAGCAGCCGCGGUAAUACGAAGGGGGCUAGCGUUGUUCGGAUUUACUGGGCGUAAAGCGCACGUAGGCGGACUAUUAAGUCAGGGGUGAAAUCCCGGGGCUCAACCCCGGAACUGCCUUUGAUACUGGUAGUCUUGAGUUCGAGAGAGGUGAGUGGAAUUCCGAGUGUAGAGGUGAAAUUCGUAGAUAUUCGGAGGAACACCAGUGGCGAAGGCGGCUCACUGGCUCGAUACUGACGCUGAGGUGCGAAAGCGUGGGGAGCAAACAGG
rnacentral:rRNA from 1 species